AAGGACCAUCUAAUGAUGCGUAUAAAUUCUAUCGAAAGGUUCCAGAGUAGGCGCUACAACGCCGAAAUGACCUUCUCACCCUUGUGUACUCACUAUGUUGCUUUGGCGGGUCGACCUGGUUCCGACCCAGGCGGCCGGCGCGCCCAGCCUUAACUGGCCAGGACGCCCGGCUAAGUGCCCGCCAGUAUACAAAACUCAAGAAUUCAUUUUGUGAAGUCCUGAUAUAUCAUUUAAUUGAUUAAAACUUUCAACAACGGAUCUCUUGGUUCUGGCAUCGAUGAAGAACGCAGCGAAAUGCGAUAAGUAAUGUGAAUUGCAGAAUUCAGUGAAUCAUCGAAUCUUUGAACGCACAUUGCGCCCUCUGGUAUUCCGGAGUGCAUGCCUGUUCGAGCGUCAUUUCAACCCUCUAGCUCUGCUUGGUAUUGGGCAACGUCCGCUGCCGGACGUGCCUUGAAGACCUCGGCGACGGCGUCCUAGCCUCGAGCGUAGUAAUUAAAUAUCUCGCUUUGGAGUGCUGGGCGACGGCCGCCGGACAAUCGACCUUCGGUCUAUUUUUCAAAGGUUGACCCUCGAUCAGGUAGGGAUACCGCUGAACUUUAGC
rnacentral:rRNA from 1 species